GGCGCACUUUCCCCGCCUGCAUCUGAGGCGUGGCGCAGCUGGGAGCAAAGCACAGACAUUGGACAUUAGGCAGAAGAAUUCUGUGACUCCUGUAAAAAGAGAAAUGCCUGUGGUGUUAUUGGACAUCAACCUAGUAUCUGGUCCAUCUAACUAUGUCUGGUUAUCUGGUUACAGAACUGCGGUAGACUGAUAUGUUGGUUCCUUUAUCACUUGACUUACUAUUUCCUUCCCCUAAAGCGGAGGACAGAGAGGAGUCCUGGGAGGCGGCUCAUCAUUGCUGAAGAUCAAGGCUUGGAGGAGCUACUGGACUUGGAGGUGCAGUCCCGAUGCCUGGAGUCCAUUCUUGCUGUUCUUGCUGAGAAGAUGUUAGAGCACCACAGGCUUGUUGGCCAAGGUCCUGGAAAGGUGAAUGCUGCCAUUUGCUUUAAGCUCCCCAAACUAUAUUGUUAAUAUAUGGAGGCUUUCACAUGUACCUCUUCCUUUUCUGGCUACUUUGGGUUAAGAUUCUUUAUAGUCUGUAUGAGUAAAGGCAAAUAAA
rnacentral:lncRNA from 10 species